rnacentral:rRNA from 1 species
AGUGAACGCUGGCGGUAGGCCUAACACAUGCAAGUCGAACGGCAGCACAGUAAGAGCUUGCUCUUACGGGUGGCGAGUGGCGGACGGGUGAGGAAUACAUCGGAAUCUACUUUUUCGUGGGGGAUAACGUAGGGAAACUUACGCUAAUACCGCAUACGCCCUACGGGUGAAAGCAGGGGAUCUUCGGCCCUUGCGCGAUUGAAUGAGCCGAUGUCGGAUUAGCUAGUUGGCGGGGUAAGGGCCCACCAAGGCGACGAUCCGUAGCUGGUCUGAGAGGAUGAUCAGCCACACUGGAACUGAGACACGGUCCAGACUCCUACGGGAGGCAGCAGUGGGGAAUAUUGGACAAUGGGCGCAAGCCUGAUCCAGCCAUACCGCGUGGGUGAAGAAGGCCUUCGGGUUGUAAAGCCCUUUUGUUGGGAAAGAAAAGCAGCAGGUUAAUACCCCGCUGUUCUGACGUUACCCAAAGAAUAAGUACCGGCUAACUUCGUG